rnacentral:rRNA from 1 species
UACGAAGGGGGGCUAGCGUUGCUCGGAAUUACUGGGCGUAAAGCGUGCGCAGGCGGUGAUGUAAGACAGAUGUGAAAUCCCCGGGCUCAACCUGGGAACUGCAUUUGUGACUGCAUCGCUGGAGUACGGCAGAGGGGGAUGGAAUUCCGCGUGUAGCAGUGAAAUGCGUAGAUAUGCGGAGGAACACCGAUGGCGAAGGCAAUCCCCUGGGCCUGUACUGACGCUCAUGCACGAAAGCGUGGGGAGCAAACAGGAUUAGAUACCCCCGAGU